AAAUACCAAGCAAAUAAGGAUGUCAAUUGUCACAGUGCAGCUUGGGCAGUGUGGGAACCAGAUUGGGCACGAGGUGUUCAGUGCUCUCUGCAGUGACAGCUGUGGCACCCACGGGCUGUGCUCCAAAAAUGAGAACCAAUCCUACCAAGCUUCCUGCAGGGAACGGUUCUUCUGCGAGGAGCGAUCUGCAGUGCCUGUUGCCCGGGCUGUGCUCGUGGACAUGGAGCCCAAAGUGAUCAGCCAGGCCUUGUCCGUGGCUGCCAGCUCUGGCCACUGGAGGUACAGCAGCCGCUCACACUUCUGCCAGAAGCAAGGAUCUGGGAACAACUGGGCCAACGGGUACUGUGUUCACGGGCCCAGACACAAAGAAGCAAUCAUGGACCUGGUGCAGAGAGAAGCAGAGAGAUGUGACAGGCUGGGGGGAUUUUUCACAAUCAUGAGCAUGGCUGGGGGCACAGGAUCAGGCCUGGGGGCAUUUGUGACCCAGUGUUUGAGAGAUGCUUUUCCAACCUCCUUCAUACUGAACCACGUCAUCUGGCCCUAUGGCACUGGGGAGGUCAUUGUUCAAAACUACAACUCUGUUUUGACUCUGUCACAUCUGUACCACUCCUCAGAUGCCCUUCUUGUCCAUGAGAAUGAUGUCAUCCACAAGAUCUGUGCCCAGCUGCUGAAUAUCAAACAGAUUUCCUUCAGGGAUGUCAACCAAGUCAUUGCUCACCAGCUGGGCAGCGUUUUCCAGCCCGCUCACGCAGCAGGAGAGGGCUCAGGCUACAGCAGGAACCCCUUAGGAGAUUUGAUGGAGGCGUUGGUCCCACACCCCGAGUUCAGGAUGCUGGGCCUGAGGAACAUCCCCCAGAUGGCCGAGAGCUCCCUGCCCUACAGCACCUUCAGCUGGCCUGGCCUCCUCAAGCACCUCAGGCAGAUGCUCAUUGCUAAUGCUCAAAUGGAGGAAGGCAUUGAUUGGCAAGUACGACCGCCACACCCAGGCUCCUCCAUCCCCUCCACAAACAAACCCCUGCACUUCAACACCUCCAUUGCCAACCUGCUCAUCCUGAGAGGAAAAGAUGUGCACAGCGUGGACUUGGGAAGUUUCCAGGAUCCCUCGUUAUACACGUCGUGGCUAAACCCCCAGGAUGCGUUUAAUGCAUGGAAAACUCCCAGAGCAUUUAACAAGUAUGAAAAAUCGGCUGCUUUGGUCAGCAACAGCCAGUUCCUGCUGAAACCUCUUGACAGCAUCGUAGGAAAAGCUUGGAAUAUGUUUGCUUCCAAAGCUUACCUUCACCAGUACACAAAGUUUGGAAUCCAAGAGGAAGAUUUCCUGGACUGCUUCACAACCCUGGAACAAGUUAUCUCCAGUUACACCAAUCUGUGAUUGAUUUCUUUGCUAAGAUGGUGUGAAAUAGAGAUUUUCUGAAAGAACCAAGCUGGAAAACCUUCCAUCAGCUCCCUGAAGAUGUGGAGAGCGUCAGAGUGACAGGAAGUGAGCAGCCACGAUCAAAUAGACAUCACCUGCAGUGACAUUAAAAGGUGGUGGAGUAAUUCUCUACAUAAUUGAUAAAAUUAAUUAUGUAAAUAGAGCCUGGAAGGAGGCCUUUAUUUCAUUAACAGUUGUAAUUAAAGAGGUAGAUCAAAGGUCAGCACAAGCCAAUGG